rnacentral:rRNA from 1 species
AGGCUGCAACUCGCCUACANGAAGUCGGAAUCGCUAGUAAUCGCGGAUCAGCAUGCCGCGGUGAAUACGUUCCCGGGCCUUGUACACACCGCCCGUCACACCAUGAGAGUUUGUAACACCCAAAGCCGGUGGGGUAACCUUUUGGAGCCAGCCGUCUAAGGUGGGACAGAUGAUUAGGGUGAAGUCGUAACAAGGUAGC